CUGCUGCUGCCGCUGCCUGCAGAGAGCAGGGGCGCAGAUGGGAAGAGGCUGCAGCUGCGGGGCAGGUGCCAUCCCCCGCUGCCGCAGGAGGGGCAGCAGCCCCCUCGGGCAGCUCGCCGGCUCAGGCGGGGAUUUGGUUGUGACAGCCCAGCUCCAUGUCGGGGCAUGCAAGUCGCAGGAGGCUGCACUUGGCAGAAGCUGCUGCCAGAGAAAGGGGCCAAGGAGCAACUGAGCAUGGAUGCUUCUACAGAGGGGAUGUGGAGUGUGACACGGGAAACAACCAAGUGCCAAGAUCUUGAUCCAGCCCCAGAGCUGCUAACUGCCGAUUAUCCCAAGAUACCGCUGGAGAAGGCUUAUGGAUUUAACCUUCAGGAACUGAAUUUGAAAAAAGAUGUUCCCGCAGAAUAAGACAAUCAUCUGUGGGUAGCUGACUACUCUUGGCUUUCUCUACCCGUUCCAGUGGUACCAUGCAGUGGACAGGUGCGAAAACUGGCUGGUCCCACAAGGAGACAGCCAAAGGCUGAAACUUGCCAAGUAACCGUAUCAUUUUUUGGGAAAUGGCCAGCACUGCUGCUGCCCAGUUGGCACAAAAGACUUAAUCAGCUGGGCACUCAUCUGGGGUCAGUAUUUUCCUCUGGACCGAGAUCUGGUAUUUCCUCCAUUCCUACCACUACGGUCAGAGCUCUCUACUCGUGUACUGUAUCAGGUUUAUGCCUGGAAAUUAAGUUGUUAAAUCUAACCAUUUCAGCAUCUAAAGCAUCCUUUUGCCCUUUGUCAGAGAGCCGUCUUCGUCUCAUCAGCCGUAUUCCUGAGGAAAGAAUUGUUUGUUAGGAUGCAGGCUGAGCAAAUGGAAGAUGCUUCUACUUAUUGUUCAUUUCUAUGGCAGGAAUGACAAAUAGGGUACUUUGCCUUUGUUUUUUUUGUAACUGGAUGCUUGUGUAAACAAACAAAUUUAAACCACAUUUAGAACAUAUAAAAUGAUCUUUCUGUGGUCAGCUGAUGAAUCUAUUCAAAAAAGUCUUUCCAUAAGAAUCCUCCUCUACCACAAAAGCGUUAUGUUAUUUCUUUAAAUUUCAGGUGUAUUCAUUUUUUAUCACUCUCUUAUCCUGAUGUAGGUUAUUAAGAAGUUUCAAUUUUGUUUAGAAUUCUCUACUACAACUGAAUCCAUCACUACUCUAAAGAUACAGAUAUGCCAGAACUGAGUGAUUAAAACAAUACAUUAUGAAUAAACACUUUUGUAUUUCCA
rnacentral:lncRNA from 1 species